rnacentral:rRNA from 1 species
UAUACAUGCAGUCGAACGAACUCUGGUAUUGAUUGGUGCUUGCAUCAUGAUUUACAUUUGAGUGAGUGGCGAACUGGUGAGUAACACGUGGGAAACCUGCCCAGAAGCGGGGGAUAACACCUGGAAACAGAUGCUAAUACCGCAUAACAACUUGGACCGCAUGGUCCGAGUUUGAAAGAUGGCUUCGGCUAUCACUUUUGGAUGGUCCCGCGGCGUAUUAGCUAGAUGGUGGGGUAACGGCUCACCAUGGCAAUGAUACGUAGCCGACCUGAGAGGGUAAUCGGCCACAUUGGGACUGAGACACGGCCCAAACUCCUACGGGAGGCAGCAGUAGGGAAUCUUCCACAAUGGACGAAAGUCUGAUGGAGCAACGCCGCGUGAGUGAAGAAGGGUUUCGGCUCGUAAAACUCUGUUGUUAAAGAAGAACAUAUCUGAGAGUAACUGUUCAGGUAUUGACGGUAUUUAACCAGAAAGCCACGGCUAACUACGUGCCAGCAGCCGCGGUAAUACGUAGGUGGCAAGCGUUGUCCGGAUUUAUUGGGCGUAAAGCGAGCGCAGGCGGUUUUUUAAGUCUGAUGUGAAAGCCUUCGGCUCAACCGAAGAAGUGCAUCGGAAACUGGGAAACUUGAGUGCAGAAGAGGACAGUGGAACUCCAUGUGUAGCGGUGAAAUGCGUAGAUAUAUGGAAGAACACCAGUGGCGAAGGCGGCUGUCUGGUCUGUAACUGACGCUGAGGCUCGAAAGUAUGGGUAGCAAACAGGAUUAGAUACCCUGGUAGUCCAUACCGUAAACGAUGAAUGCUAAGUGUUGGAGGGUUUCCGCCCUUCAGUGCUGCAGCUAACGCAUUAAGCAUUCCGCCUGGGGAGUACGGCCGCAAGGCUGAAACUCAAAGGAAUUGACGGGGGCCCGCACAAGCGGUGGAGCAUGUGGUUUAAUUCGAAGCUACGCGAAGAACCUUACCAGGUCUUGACAUACUAUGCAAAUCUAAGAGAUUAGACGUUCCCUUCGGGGACAUGGAUACAGGUGGUGCAUGGUUGUCGUCAGCUCGUGUCGUGAGAUGUUGGGUUAAGUCCCGCAACGAGCGCAACCCUUAUUAUCAGUUGCCAGCAUUAAGUUGGGCACUCUGGUGAGACUGCCGGUGACAAACCGGAGGAAGGUGGGGAUGACGUCAAAUCAUCAUGCCCCUUAUGACCUGGGCUACACACGUGCUACAAUGGAUGGUACAACGAGUUGCGAACUCGCGAGAGUAAGCUAAUCUCUUAAAGCCAUUCUCAGUUCGGAUUGUAGGCUGCAACUCGCCUACAUGAAGUCGGAAUCGCUAGUAAUCGCGGAUCAGCAUGCCGCGGUGAAUACGUUCCCGGGCCUUGUACACACCGCCCGUCACACCAUGAGAGUUUGUAACACCCAAAGUCGGUGGGGUAACCUUUUAGGAACCAGCCGCCUAAGGUGGGACAGAUGAUUAGGGUGAAGUCGUAACAAGGUAGCCGUAGGAGAACCUGCGGCUGGAUCACCUCCUUUCUAAGGAAUAUUACGGAAACCUACACAUUCUUCGAAACUUUGUUUAGUUUUGAGAGAUUUAACUCUCAAAACUUGUUCUUUGAAAACUAGAUAAUAUCAAAUAUAUUUUUUCAUAAUGAAACCGAGAACACCGCGUUUUUUGAGUUUUUUAUUGAAGUUUAAUUAUCGCUAAACUCAUUAAUCGCAUUUACCGUUAGGUAAAUGAGGUUAAGUUAACAAGGGCGCAUG